rnacentral:ncRNA from 2 species
AUAUUGACAAGUUUCAAGGGAAUCGUGGUGAAAAUCCACGGCUGUGCCGCAACUGUUAUAGUCAGACUACUUGAUACUUG